rnacentral:RNase_MRP_RNA from 1 species
GAGACCUGCUGCUGGGGCACACACACGGAGCACGGCGCUGCGCUGCUCACGCCCGCCCUAGGAGAAAGUCCCCGGACACCCCGGCAGAAAAUGCCGGCCGGACUCGGCUACCGCGGGCUGCUGCCUGGCGGACCCCGCCGCCCAGAGAUGCUUUGGCGGAGGGCGCGGGGCAUCAAGCCAGGCACGGUCCGCAUCACCGUCGUAGCAAAGUAAUGCAGGUGGCGCGCCCUCUCCGGGGGGCGCGCUAACUCAAUGGGGCUUACUCCCA